CCUACGGGUGGCAGCAGUGAGGAAUAUUGGUCAAUGGGCGGGAGCCUGAACCAGCCAUGCCGCGUGAAGGCGAGUGCCCUACGGGCGUUAAACUUCUUUUGUUCGGGAGCAAUAAUGGCCCCGUUUGGCCCUAUGAUAUUACCGCUCGAAUAAGCAUCGGCUAACUCCGUGCCAGCAGCCGCGGUAAUACGGGGGAUGCGAGCGUUAUCCGGAUUUAUUGGGUUUAAAGGGUGCGUAGGCGGACUGUUAAGUCAGCGGUAAAAGCCCGGGGCUCAACCCCGGCGAGCCGUUGAAACUGGCUGUCUGGAGAUGUCGAGAGGUAGGCGGAAUGCGCAGUGUAGCGGUGAAAUGCUUAGAUAUUGCGCAGAACUCCGAUUGCGAAGGCAGCAUACCGGAGGCGAUCUGACGCUGAGGCACGAAAGCGUGGGUAUCGAACAGGAUUAGAUACACGGGUAGUC
rnacentral:rRNA from 1 species